UACGUAGGGUGCAAGCGUUAAUCGGAAUUACUGGGCGUAAAGCGUGCGCAGGCGGUUAUGCAAGACAGGUGUGAAAUCCCCGAGCUCAACUUGGGAACUGCAUUUGUGACUGCAAGGCUAGAGUACGGCAGAGGGGGAUGGAAUUCCGCGUGUAGCAGUGAAAUGCGUAGAUAUGCGGAGGAACACCAAUGGCGAAGGCAAUCCCCUGGGCCUGUACUGACGCUCAUGCACGAAAGCGUGGGGAGCAAACAGG
rnacentral:rRNA from 1 species